rnacentral:rRNA from 1 species
UACGAAGGGGGCUAGCGUUGCUCGGAAUCACUGGGCGUAAAGGGUGCGUAGGCGGGUCUUUAAGUCAGGGGUGAAAUCCUGGAGCUCAACUCCAGAACUGCCUUUGAUACUGAGGAUCUUGAGUUCGGGAGAGGUGAGUGGAACUGCGAGUGUAGAGGUGAAAUUCGUAGAUAUUCGCAAGAACACCAGUGGCGAAGGCGGCUCACUGGCCCGAUACUGACGCUGAGGAGCGAAAGCCAGGGGAGCAAACGGG